rfam:Salmo salar isolate Sally breed double haploid chromosome ssa11, whole genome shotgun sequence.
CCCCAUGUAGCUCAGUCAGUAGAGCAUGGUGCUUACAACACCAGGGUUGGGGGUUCCAUUCCCACAGGGGA